rnacentral:lncRNA from 1 species
CAAGGCAUAAGCGCCGGCAGUGAUGGCACCGAGCUCACCAAGCUGCUGGAGGUGCUUGUGGUGCUUCUCCUCCUUCCUAUAAUCGACCGUAGGCUCUGUGAAGACGACCCCAGGCUCCAUGAAGGCAUCAUCCUUCUUGUGGUGGCUGUGGUGGUGGUUGUGGUGGUGGUGAUGGUGGUGUCCUUCUGCCAUGGUUGGUGGUUGUUUUUUUGAGGACUACUAGAAUUGACGAAGGAUCAGGGAAAGGACAAUAGCUGAAGUGUAUGGUAUGCGUUAUGAGACCGUUCGGGAGGGAGGGGCGUAUUUAUAGGGAAAGUUAGCACACGCAAAGUCUCGCAUCCAAUCGGGCCAACGCGGGAGGCCUUAAACGCGUGAUGGACGGUCAGGAUUGGUUGGUCUGGUUCUGCUCGAUGCAUUUUUAUCUUCUUUCGAUAAAGCAGUUGUUUGUAUGUCAAAAAAAAAAGAAGGGAUUUUUGGGAGGACAAAUUUAUUAGAGAACAAUGCUCUAACAAUACCAUAUACUUGACAAUUGUUUUUAUCGUUUCCCUUUGAUUUCUCGGAUGAUAAUUUCUUCCAGUCUUAAGCUUGAAUUGCAAGAUUUGUUUAAUAAUGUAAUUGUAGGGGUCCAAAGUCUAAGAUGAGACUUUCUGGUGGAGGUGGGUCAUUUUAACUUAUUGAUUAAGGAAUCGUGUCACAUGAAUAUGCUCUAUGGGUCAUCCCAUGAUUUCAUACUGACUUGUUUUUGCAAAAAUGAUCAUCUCUUUUUUGAUACUUUAAGAAUAAGAGAACACAUUAAUUUUUCCAUCAUUGUACUUCCGUUUUUUUUUUCUCCUUUUCCUAUUAUACUCUUAGAUUGUUUGUAAGAGGCAUGGCAUUAUAUCCCUAUUAAUUUUCAAGGGAUGAAACCCGAAUAUAAUUAGAUAGCAUAACUAGAUCGUAUAUGCUCGAUCAAUGCAUUUGCUAACGCCUUGUCUACUUAUACUACCAUGUGGAAUAGUAAAAAAAAAACUGCUCCUAGUGUAUGUAAUGACAUUACAUGAUCUUGAGGCACGAUGGAUAGUCUCGUUUUGAUUCUACUUGACCGACAAUGCUGAAUCAGCUCAAAUAUUCGUUUGUGCCAUAUAACACCUCGGGGAUGGUUAGUAGCUCCCUCGAAUGUGAACAAUUUUAUGCCCUUUCUUCUUGAGAUUAUUAGAUGCCGGCACCAUUGACUUUAUUUUAGUUAUUUAAUUUAGUGGAACCCCUUCAUUUUAGAAUUGGCUAACACGCGUAUAUACAUAUAAAAUCAAUGGGGUAGAUAGUAUCUGGUGUUGAUUGAAAGGUGGACAUCAAUAAAACAUAUAUAAAUGAAUAAAUAAGGACGUGCGGACCUUUCGAGUGCCACAACUUUGGCCAAAGGGACACUUAAGUGCCAUAACUUACGAAAGGUACACUUAAGUGCCAAAAUCGAAGUAAAAUGGAUCACUUGAGUGCCAAUCCGGCCAAAAUCCGGCCAAAAUGCUGACGUGGCAUUUUUCCGGCGAAGCGCGACCAAAACGACGCCGUUUUGCAUGCUGACGUGGCCAAAAUGGCGUUGUUUUGGGUUGACGUGGAAAAAAAUAAAUAAAUUAAUAAAUUAAUUAAAUUUAAAAUUAAAUUUAGUUAAAAUAUUAAAAAAUAAUAAUUUUAAAAUUAAAUUUAGUUAAAUAUUAAAUAAUUAAUUAAAAAAAUUUAAAAAAAGUUUUAAAAAAAUUUAAAACACUUUAAAAAAAUUUUAAAUUUUUUUUAAAAAAAAGGCAAGGGGGGGGGGGGGGGAGGCGGCUGAGGGAUCAGCCCUCAGCCGCCGCCGUCGCUACCCUGCUGUCGCUGGGAAGGGCCCGCGACGGCGGGGCGGCAGCGGUGGCGGCUGAGAGCCUCCCCCUGUUCCCUUUUUUUUUUAAUUUUUUUAAAGUUUUUUAAAGUUUUUAAAAAUUUUAAAUUAUUAUUUUUUAAUAUUUUUUAAUAUUUAACUAAAUUUAAUUAAUUAAUUAUUUAUUUAUUUAUUUUUUUACCACGUCAGCACAAAACGACGCCGUUUUUGCUUUAUUUCGUCACGUCAGCGUGCAAAACAGUGUCGUUUUGGGCGUGCUUCGCCGGAGAAAUGCCACGUCGGCGUUUUGGCCGGACUUUAGCCGGAGUGGCACUCAAGUGAUCCGUUUUUCUUCGAAUGUGGCACUUAAGUGUACAUUUCGUAAGUUAUGGCACUUAAGUGUCCCUUUGGCCAAAGUUAUGGCACUUGAAGCGUUCUUUUGCCAAUAAAUAAGUAAAAUUAAAAAUCCAAAGACUACAUCGCACAUUGCACAUUGUCCAAAGCAUCCAAGUACUAACACUCUUUGCCUAUGAUUUGAAAGUAGGCCGUACAUCUUUAUUUCCAGUGGUAAAUAUCAAAGCUCGUUUGAGAUGAUGCCCUUUUUGGCCUUGGUUCUCUUAUACUUUGAAUGCAUGUCUCCACCCAUAUACACUUUGAAAAACAAUCGUAUCAGUUUUGAUUUGAAGAACAUUCUCUUCUUUGACUUUCCAUUGUUUCUAUAGGAUUCCAAACACCAUUCUCUACGACCAAAAUCAAUAAAAAAAAAAAUCAAGAAAGAACCGAAAUUCAAGCGCAACCCGAAGAUCUCCGGAAGCUUUGAAGGCGGCCGUGGAGGAAAGGCAAUUGGCUAUGGCUCGCCUCAGCAGCUCGAGCAGCUUCUUCAUUGAGGAAGAUCUCAACCUCGAAACGCCACAAAGCGAUUGGUCCCGUUAUCGCUGGUGCCGAAUUGCUGGUGUCUCGAGAUGCUCUAAUAUGGUCGUAUGAUGCAUGGUUGAAAGCCCGACGUGUCCAGCUUCGAUGAAUCAAGUUUUUCUACAAAUUGAAAGUCCUUUGAAGGAAAUUAUGCCCGAAGUGCUAAGAGGAGGAAAUCUGGGAUAUUGUUAAGUUUCGGUAUAGUACGAUGCAGGCCACGCUGGUGGUAUGGCCAGGCACGAGCAGGCUAUCGGCACGCAUGGUCGAGCUGGCGGCUGGUUUCAUGAAUUUAUGGGCAUGAAUACUACUAAUAUAAUGAUUUUAGGUUCUUGUUUCAAAUCAAUUUUACAAAGUACAAUCGCAUUAUAAAGAAAAAUAAUCUAAAAAGUCAUAAAUCUAUUGCAUUUUGACCGAUUCAAUUAUAAUCCUUUCAAUUAUAUCAAAUGAGUCCUAAACAUUUUCACGUGUUAUCAAUUGAGUUUAUCUGACUAAUUUAAUUCAAAAAUCACUGAUGUGGACACUAGUAGUGUUACAUAGGAUGGCUAGGAUAGACGUGAAAAUUUUUUUAUAAUUUUUUUCUUUGUUUAUUUUUUUUUACUACCAAGUCUAACAAGGAUCGCCAUGUAACCCUUGCCAGCUGAAAGGCAAGGGCUGGGCAACCCUUGUUAGUGACUGGGUGAGGGCUGUGAUGAUUGAGGGCUUCAUGGUUGGCAAGGGUUAGCCAGCAGCUCUUUUGCAAGGCUUGGAAAGAAAGAAAGAAAGAAAGAAAGAAAGAAAGAAAGAAAGAAAGAAAGAAAGCUGAUCGAUUAAUACAUAUGCAUGGAUGGCAGUGUAAAUUAUGCAAAACCAAGAGGCUGUUUAAUUUGACGUUCACCAAAUUAGUCCUAUUCAAAUUUCUUUUUCACCGAAAUAAAAGAACCUUCCAAUAUCUUAUAAAAACUUUGCAAAGAUUUGAGGUGACGUAUGGUGACAUGAAGAUUUUUCUAAAAAAAUUAAACGCGUUUUGACAUUAUAAUUCCAUGUUUUUGUGUCUUCUAUGGUUUUAUCAGGGGCACAUAUGACCCAGUGCACUCCUCUUGAAGUCGCGUAUCGGUUUUUGGUGCCUUCGCGUUCGCCCCUAAAAUGCAUACUCGGAUGAUGGCGGGUCUUCGCCGCGUCGGCGACUUCGUCUUUGUCAACAAAACCAAAAUGAACGCUCCGACGAUGGCGUGUCUUCGCCUCAUCCGCCCUAACGUGUCGUCCAUACCGUGUGAUAAUGCUCUCAUCGUCGCGAGAAUUCAGCCAGCAUCGACUUCUUCACAUAAUCCCAAGAUGCAGCAGCAUGACACGACGAAAUCCUUGCGUGGAGCAGCCUUGUCCGGCAUUGCAUAGCCGGAGUACCGCCUGACGCACUUGUCGAAUCGGAAAGCUAAUGGGAUCUACACAUAAGAAAACGUUCGAUCAUCUGUCGCAUCCUAGCGGGAGAAGACUAAAUCCGAUCAAGCCAUGAGAGUAUAGAGUUUAUGUAGCUACGCAAAAUUGCAAGAUUUUGAAAUACAAAGCUCCUUUUUCCAUGACCUAAUGAUAGAGUUGUCUUGCAUGGAGGCACAUGGCCUAUUGCUGCGUCAGCGAUCUUCGAUGAAAAAAUCAAAGGAUUAUAUUAAAAUUUUCUGUAAAGACUUAAGAUUAAAUUAGCAAAAAAUUAAAAGUUUUAGAACUUAUCUGACUUCCAUACAAAAUAUUUAGGUGUAAUUAAGUAAUUUUCUAGGUUCAUUUGAGACAAAUUGAUGGUUAUAAUUGUAAUUGGUCAUUAGCAACAGAUUGAUACGUCUAGUGAAGGAAAGGAGGUCUCUUCGGAGACAUUCGAUAUAAAAAAGGAAAGGAGAAUUUUGAGACGAAAAGGGAGAUUAAUUGGAGGAGGAACUUUCCUUUUUUGGGCUUUUGGAGGCCCACUGGCAAAGCCCUGCUGGCCCAACAGCCACCGGUCAAGUAGAUGGGCCUAGAGUUUGGACCUUUGGGCCCAUAUAAUUCGAUUUGGGCCGAGCCUUUUACCAGGCCAUCUCGAGAGAAGAUGGGCUUGAUCAACAAAGCCCAACCCAAACUAGCAUAAUUGCCACCCCUUCCUCAUUAUGUAAGUCGAUAAAUUAGGUAAGUACGGAAUCAUCUAAUUUAGUGAAAAUUCAACCAUUAACUUUAUUUUUUUAUUUUUUAUUUUUGGCUGAAGUUUUUGGAUCUAUAUUAUUAAACCAAAAGUGUCAGUUAUAUUCCUACGAGAAUCCCUCCAAGGCCCGUAGUUUGGGCCUUAGGGCCCAAAUAAGUUGAUUGUGCCAAGCCGACCCAGCCCAGCCCAAUUACCACCCCCUCCUCAUUAUGUAAGUCGAUAUAUUAGGUAAGCACGGAAUCACCUAAUUCAAUGAAAAUCCAACCAUUAACUUUAUUACUCUUAUUUAUUUUUUUUGGGCUAAAGUUAUUAGAUCUAUAUUAUUAAAGCAAAAUUGUCAUUUAUAUUCCUACGAGAAUCCCUCCGAGGCCCAGAGUUUGGGCCUUAGGGCCCAAAUAAGUUGAUUGUGCCAGCCCGAUCAGGCCUGGCCCAGUUGCCACCCUUCCUUAUUAUGUAGUCGAUAUAUUAGGUACGAGUGGAAUCAUCCGAUUUAGUAAAAAUUUAACCAUUAACUUUAUUAUUAUUUUUUUGCUAAUUUUUUUUGGAUCUAGAUUUUUAAACCAAAAGUGUCAAAUAUUAUUUAUAUAUUGAAAUAUAUUUUAAUUUUGUUAAUUUUUUUGGUUGAAUAAUUUUAAUUUGUUAAUUUUUUUAAUUCAAGAAGUUUAGUUUCCGAUAAAAAUAAUUUUCUUAAUAUUAUAAAUUAUAUUCACCUUUAUUCCACACUCCGAUGACAUAAUUUUAUUCAGUCUAUAUUCUCCUUAUAUCUGACUUUAUCCUAUUUUUAGCACACAUCAAACGAAAAAUAAGAUAAAUUUUAUUAUAUCUUGAAUUUUAUCAUAAUUGCCAAAUGCAAUCAAGUUUUUUCUAUCUAUUGUAUUUUUUGCAUCAAAUUCUUAGUGGUAGGUCUCAUUAACGCUUUUCCUAGAUUCGCUUGAGGCACAUUUGUAACACAUGUUCAUUGUGUAGCUAUUAAUGUUAUGUUGAUGACAUUUUCUACAAAGCAACUUCAAGCAUAACUUGCUUUUUGGUUACAUGGUUCUUUCCAAUUUUCCCUUAUUUGUUUCAUUUUUUUGUUAAUCAUCAUGUUAAUAUCUUGAUUUGUUUUAACAAAUUUGACAGAUAAAGAGCCUCUUGGGAACAAAGGUUGAGUGGAUGUACUAUAUUCUCAAGGCAUUUUUUUGUGUUUUCAGUUUCCUCAACUAAGCACUAUAGGCUCGUCGAUAUUAAAUGGUGGUGGACAAAAUGAAAAAAAGUGUAGGAACUUCAAUGGUUGCUUUUCUAGGCCCCUGAGGAAGUUGAAAUAGCAUCAAUUCUUCAAGAUUGAUGGUUGCAACUCUUCAAAGAUGUAGGCUUUAAAAGCCCCGACUCUUCAAGGACAAAGUGGAAACUCUUCUAGGUUUUCAAGGGAUUUGAACUCUUUAAGGUUCAAGAGAGUUACACUAAGCAAAUUUCAUUAAUCAAAUUCGGUCUAUAAUUUAUAGAGACUCAUUGACCUUUUAUAUCAAAACAAAAGAAGAGUAAGAGGCUAGACUCAAACAUAGAAACUAAUAGUCAUUAAUGUACGUAGAAACUAGAAGCUAUUAAAAUUGAAACAAGAUUUACCAAUGCUUUUGCUCGCCACAUAGUGCCUUGAUGCAAGUUUUAAUGUUUGAGAAACGACAAAAUCUUAGAGUGUCGUUGAUAUUGAAUGCAUGCUAAUCUUCUUGGUUGAACAAGUUGGUCUUGAAUAUGGGCUAAAUCAAAGAGAGAGAGAAAGGAGCUAUUUCCCUCCAAUGACGAUAAUUUUAUCGACAACUUCUAUAUGAUGUAAGAGAUAUAACUUUUGUGGAAUUAAAGGCACUUUAUUGAACCUUUUUUAGAAUAUAUAAAUGGGCCAGCCAUCAUAUAUCGCUGGGAAAAGUGUUAAAAAAAUCUUAAAUCUUUUGUAUUUGUGCCAAUUUAGUCCUAAACAUUUUUUUUUGGUGCCAAUUUAGUCUUAAACAUUUCUUUUGGUGCCAAUUUAGUUCUAAACAUUUUUACUUAGUGCCGAUUUAGUCAUUUCCGGCCAAUUUUGGCCGGAUUUUGCUGACUGGACGCCGGCUGGCUAACAUGGCCUGAUUGGUGCUAACGUGGACAACUUUUAAUAAUAUUUUAAUAUUUUUGAAUUUUAUUAUUUUUCUUUUUAUUAUUACUUUCUUUUUUCUAUUUUCCUUCCCCACCUCCAGUCGAUCGCUAGACCUCGGUAAUCGGCAAGAGGCAAUGGCUGGCGAGGCCGACCUCAUCGGCCACCUCGCCAAUGGCCACGAGGGCGGCCUCGUGUUGGGUGGCAAGGCUCGCCCUCACUGAAUCUGGCGAGGGUCGAGCCUUGCCCAUGGCUAGCGAGGCUUGACCUCACUAGCGCUGCCCAGAUUCAACGAGGGCGAGCCUCACCAGCGCCGCCUAGGCCGCGAUUCGGCGAGGUCGAGCCUCGCCAGCCCAGAACUAGGUCGCCAAAUUCGGCAAGGUCGACCUCGCCAUUCACUGAGGUCCAGCGACCGGCUGGAGGAGGGGAAGGAAAAAAGAAAAAGAAAAGAAAAAUAUUUAAAAAUAUUUAAAAAUAUUAAAAUAUAAUUAAAAGUUGUCCACAUCAACACUGAUCAUGCUACGUCAACUGGCUAGCAUCCAGUCAGCAAAAUCUAGCCAAAAUUGGCCGGAAAUGAUUGAAUCAACACCAAAUAAAAAUGUUUAGGACUAAAUUGACAGAAAUACAAAAGGUUUAUGACUUUUUUUUAACACUUUUCCAUAUAUCGCUUGAUCUGGGACAAUAUAGAUUAUUAAUUAUGUCAUUUUGUGAGUUUAUUUCAAACUGAAUCGCAAUUAAUUGACUUAGCCAUAUUUGAAAUACUAACUUGGAAAAAAUCACGAUAAUGGAUGAUGAUAAAGACAUGCACCUAGCACAUAGAUCCCACCAAAUUAGUAGAAAAUGUUAAUGUGCUUAGUGAGGUCACGAUGAAGAUAUCGCAAUAUACUAUUAUUAGAUAAAUUUGCUAAUUUGUACGUGUCCUCAUGGGAGGACUCAAAAACAUCAAUUCUAAGAAACUCUUAUAUACUUUUAUGUCAUGUACAGCUUUUUUAAGUACUUUUUGAAUUAUAAUUAUAUAUAACAUUGCGAUCAAGUGAUUUUUUUGAAUUUGACGCCAUCGCGUUUUAGUUAAUUGACAUUGACUAACCGGGUGUGGAUCCAUCCUAUGCGAAGACUGUGUGCUAACUGGUUUUGGAAAAUAAUAUUCAAUAUAAUCAUUGUACCUAAAACAAUAUGUGGACAUGUAAACGCAAGAAAUCAGAUCAUCAGAACACCCAAGAUACGACCUGUACAAGACAAAGCCCAAACACACCCAUGCUCAUCCUCUCAGGGAAGCAUUCACAAGCAGCAGAAUUCAAGAUUCAAGAACCACCCUCCGCAAAUGUACAGCGACUAUUGAAGGCAGUCUCUAAGGAAAUAAAAUUACAUAAACAAGACAGAUAGCAGCAAAAAGAGACGGCGAUCCUCCAUGGUUUAGAAGUGAUGGUGGUGCUUCUUGCCAUGAUGAGACUCUUCAUAAUUUUUCUUGGCCUCCUUUUUCUCGUGGUGCUCGUGGAAGGCGAACCCGACAGCCCCAACGGCAGCGGCGGCAGCUAUUUCCUCCUCUAUCUUGUGCCGGUGAGCGUGCUCCGGGUCCUUCUUGGCCUUAUGCUUCUCAUGCUGCAAUUUGCACAUCAUUAAUCAGGAAUUGCGUGCACGAAACAAAAUGAGUUAAGGUAAAGAGGAAAGGAAAAACAAGUUCUCUAUUAUGUAUACUUUUUUUUUAUACAAGCUCUGAGCAUGGGAUAAGUUCGAGAAAAAAAAAUUAAUUUAGUCACUUUGAAAAGAAGUAUUUGAUCAUGUAAAUAGUGCUAUGGAUUACAACUAUGUCUUUUGUUUAAGCCAAUUGUAGGGAAAUCUUAUUCCUCUAGCUGAUGGGUGAAGGAAAUAAGUUAAAUUCAAACUAUUGUUCAUUUAUAAGGAUGAUCCAAUCUUGCAUGGUAUGCCAUUAUCAUGUCGAGUUGAAAUAUGUCAGUUUAAUCGAGAUCUUUUGCAUCCAAUUCUCGUGAGUAAUUUGAUGAUUCAAGUUAAUAAGGUAAAGAUGCAAAUUUUUUUAUCUAAAUUAUAAAAUGGGAAAAGAAUUUCAAGAAUCGAAAAGAAGAUGAUAAUUAUUACCAAGGCAUAAGCACCGGCAGCAACGGCACCAACCUCGCCAAGCUGCUGGAGGUGCUUGUGGUGCUUCUCCUCCUUCCUGUAAUCGACUGUAGGCUCCGUGAAGACGACCCCAGGCUCCAUGAUGGCAUCAUCCUUCUUGUGGUGGCUGUGGUGAUGGUUGUGGUGGUGGUGAUGGUGGUGUCCUUCGGCCAUGGUUGGUGGUUGUUUUUUUGAGGAAUACUAGAAUUGACGAAGAAUCAGGGAAAGGACUAUAGCUGAAGUGUAUGGUAUGCGUUGUGAGACCGUUAGAGAGGGAGGGGCGUAUUUAUAGGGAAAGUUGGCACAUGCAAAGUCUUGCAUCCAAUCGGGCCAACGCGGGAGGCCUUAAACGCGUGAUGGACGGUCGGGAUUGCUUAGUCUGGUUCUUCUCGAUGCAUUUUUUUUUUUUAUCUUCUUUCGAUAAAGCAGUGUUUGUAUGUCAAACAAAAAAAUAAUAAAUUAAGGGAUGAUUUUUUUUUGGGGGGGGGGGGGGGGAGAGGUUCUAGUUAAGGGAUUUUUGUGUGGACAAAUUUAUUAGAGAACAAUGCUCUAACAAUACCAUAUACUUGACAAUGAUGUUUUUAUCGUUUUCCUUUGAUUUCUCCGAUGAUGAAUUGCAAUAUUUGUUUAAUAAUGUAAUUGUAGGGGUCCAAAGUCUAAGAUGAGACUUUCCUGGUGGAGGUGGGUGGUUUUAACUUAUUGAUUAAGGAAUCGCAUCACAUGAAUGUGCUCUAUGGGUUGUCCCGUGGUUUCAUACCGACUUGUUUUUGCAAAAGUGAUCGUCUCUUUUUAGAUGCUUUAAGAAUAAGAGAAAACAUUAAUUUUUCCAUCACUAUACUUCCAUUUUUUUUUUUCUUUUCUUUUCCUGCUAUACUCUUAGAUUGUCUGUAAGAGGCAUGGCGUUAUAUCCCUAUUAAUUUUCAAGGGACCAAACCCAAAUUUAAUUAGAUAGCAGUACUAGUUUGUAUAUGCUCCCAUCAAUGCAUUUGUUGACACCUUGUCUACUUAUACUUACAUGUGGAGUAGUAAAAAAGAAUGCUCCUAGUGUAUGUAAUGACAUUCCAUGAUGUUGAGGAACGAUGGAUAGUCUCGUUUCGAUUCUACUUGACAGACAAAGCUAAAUCAGCUCAAUUAUUCGUCUGUGCCAUAUAACACCCCGGGGAUGGUUAGUAACUCCCUCGAAUGUGCACAAUUUUAUGCUCUUUCUUCUUGGGAUUAUUAUAUGCCGGCACUAUUGACUUUAUUUUUGAAUUGGCUGACACCUAUAUACAUAUAAAAUCAAUGGGGUAGAUAUUAUCUAGUAGUGACUAGAAGGUGGACAUCAAUAAGACAUACAUAAAUGAAUAAAUAAGUAAAAUAAAAAAUCCAAGGACUCCCUCGCACAUUGUGCAUUGUCCAAAGCAUCCAAGUACUAACACUCUUUGUCUAUUAUUUGAAAGCAGGCUAUACAUCUUUAUUUCCAAUGGUAAAUAUCAAAGCUCGUUUGAGAUGAUGCCUUUUUGGCCUUGGUUUUCUUGCAUUUUGAAUGCAUGUCUCCACGCAUAUAUACUUUGAAUAACAGUAGUAUCAGUUAUGAUUUGAAGAACAUUCUCUUCUUUGACUUUCCAUUGUUUCUAUAGGAUUUCAAAUACCAUUCUCUACGACCAAAAUCAAGACUGGGCAUGUUCUAACCAGGUUGGCAAGACCAAUAAAAAAAACAGAGAAAGAACCGAAAUUCAAGCGCAACCCGAAGAUCUCCGGAAGCUUCGAAGGCGGCCGUGGAGGAAAGGCAAUUGGCUAUGGCUCGCUCAGCAGCUCGGGCAGCUUCUUCAUUGAGGAAGAUCUCGACUUGGAAACGCCCCAAAGCGACUGGUCCCGUUAUUGCCGGCGCGGAAUUGCCGGUGUCUCGAAAUGCUCUAAUAUGGUCAUAUGAUGCAUGGUUGAAAGCUCGACAUGUCUAGCUUUGAUGAAUCAAGUUUUCCUGCAAUUUAGAAGUCCUUUGAAGGAAAUUAUGCCCGAAGUACUAAGAGGAGGAAAUCUGGGAUAUUGUUAAGUUUCAGUAUAGUAUGAUGCAGGCCGCGCGGGUGGUAUGGCCAUGCACGAGCCGGCCAUGUCGCGGGUUGGUUGCAUGAAUUAUGGGCAUGAAUGCUAUCUUUUUGUACUGAAAUAACAAAGAUAAUGAUUUCAAAUUCUUGUUUCAAAUCAAAUUUUACCACAUUAUGAAAAAAAAAAAUCAUCCAAAAAGUCCAUAAAUCUCUAUAUUUAACCAAUUCAAUUCUAAUCAUUUCAAUUGUGUCAAUUGAGUUCUAAACAUUUUCACGUGUGGCAAAUUGAGUUUUACCUGACUAAGUUUAAUUGGAAAUCACUGACGUGGAUAUCAGUAGUGUUACAUAGGACAGUUGAGGUUGAUGUGACCAAUUUUUUCUUAUGAUUUUUCUUCUUUGUUUUUUUUUUCUUACCAAGUACAACAAGGAUUGCCAACUAAUCCUUGCCAACUGAAAGGCAAGGGCUGGGCGACCCUUGUUGGCGACUGGGUGAAGGCACUGAUGAUUGAGGGCUUCAUGGCUGGCAAGGGUUGGCCAGCGGCUCUUUUGCUAGGCUUGGAAGGAAAAAAGAAAGAAAGAAAGAAAGAAAGAAAGAAAGCUGAUCAAUUAAUACAUAUACAACGAUGCUGUGUGUGCAUUAUGCAAAACCGAGAGACUGUUUAGUUUGAUGUUCACCAAAUUAGUCAUAUUUAAAUUUCCUUUUCACCGAAAUAAAAGAACCUUCCAAUAUCUUAUAAAAACUUUGCAAAGAUUUGAGGUGAGGUAUGGUGACAUGAAGAUUUUUCUAAAAGAAUUAAACGCGUUUUGACAUUAUGAUUCCAUGUUUUUGUGUCUUCUAUGGUUUUACCAGGGGCACAUAUGGCCCAAUGCAGUCCUCCUGAAGUCGCGUGUCGGUUUUUGGUGCCUUCGCGUUCGCCCCUAAAAUGCAUACUCGGAUGACGGCGGGUCUUCGCCGCGUCGGCGACUUCGUCUUUGUGAACAAAACCAAAAUGAACGCUUCGACGAUGGCGUGUCUUCGCCUCAUCCGCCUUAACGCGUCGUCCAUACCGUGUGAUAAUGCUCUCAUCGUCACGAGGAUUUGGCCAGUAUCGACUUCUUCACCUAUUCCCAAGUUGCAGCAGCAUGACACGACGAAAUCCUUGCGUGGAGCAGCCUUGUCCGGCAUCGCAUGGCUAGAGUACCGCCUGACGUACGCGUCGAAUCGAAAUCUAAUGGGAUCUACACAUCAUCGCGAGAAAACGUUCGAUCAUCUGUCGCAUCCUAGCAGGAGAAGACUAAAUCCGAUCGAGCCACGAGAGUAUAGAAUUUAUGUAGCUACGCAAAAUUGCAGGAUUUUGAAAUACAAAGCUCUUUUUUCCAUGACCUAAUGAUAGAGUUGUCUUGCGUGGCGGCACGUGGCUUGUAUCAUGGCAGCGAUCUCCGAUAAAAAUUAAUUAGAAGGAUUAUAUUAAAAUUUUAUAUAAAGACUUACGAUUAAAUUAGCAAAACUUUAAAAAAAUUUAGGGCUGAUUUGACUUCAAUACAAUAUAUUUAGGUGCAAUUAAGUAAUUUUCCAGGUUCAUUUGAGACAAAUUGAUGGUUAUCGUUGUAAUUGUUCAUUAGCAACGGAUCGAGAGAAUUUUGAGAAGGAAAGGGAGAUUAAUUGGAGGAACUUUCCUUUUUUUUUGCUUUUGGGGGCCCACUGGCAAAGCCCCCCGGCCCAAAGGCCACCAGUCAAGUGGAUGGGCCCAGAGUUUGGACAUUCAGGCCCAUAUAAUUCGAUUUGGGCCGAGCCUUUUACCAGGUCAUCUCGAGAGAAGAUGGGCCUGAUUGACACAGCUCGAUCGGUCCCAGCCCAAUUGCCACCCCUCCUCCAAUAAAAAUUCAACCACUAACUUUAUUAUUAUUAUUUUUUGGGCUGAAGUUAUUGGAUCUAUAUUAUUAAAUCCAAAGUGUCAUAUAUAUUCCUACCAGAAUCCCUUUGAGGCCCGGAGUUUGGGCUUUAGGGCCCAAAUAAGUUGACUAUGCUGGGCCUACCCGGCCUAGCCCAAUUGCCACCCCUUCUCAUUAUGUGAGUCGAUAUAUUAGGUAAACACAGAAUCACCCAAUUCAGUGAAAAUUCAACUAUUAGCUUUAUUGUUAUUGUUAUUAUUAUUAUUAUUAUUAGGCUUUAGGGCCCAAAUAAGUUGACUAUGCUGGGCCUACCCGGCCUAGCCCAAUUGCCACCCCAACCCCUCACCUCCCCCUUCCAUGUUGGAAGGGUGGCCACUGGGGCGAACCCCCAGUGGUUUAUUAGCUUUAUUGUUAUUGUUAUUAUUAUUAUUAUUAUUAUUAUUAUUAUUAUUAUUUGGGCUGAAGUCAUCAGAUCAAUAUUAUUAACUCCAAAGUGUCAUUUUAUAUUCCUACGAGAAUCCUGGGCCUUAGGGCCCAAAUAAGUUGAUUGUGCCAGCCCGACCAGGCCCGGCCCAAUUGCCACCCUUCUUCAUUAUGUAGUCAAUAUAUUAUAUAUGAGUGGAAUCAUCCAAUUUAGUAAAAUUUAACCAUUAACUUUAUCUUAGUUUUCGCUAAUUUUUUUGGAUCUAGAUUAUCAAACCAAAAGUGUCAUUUAUAUUCCAACAAGAAUGCCUAUGUUGCCCGAGUCAAGAAGCAUUCAAUGGGCUAGGGUGGCCCCGUUUUUCAGAAUUACCAUUAAAGCGUAUAAUGCCCACUUAUCAAUUAGCCACCCACUUUCCUUUUAUGCAUAAACCCACCUCAUAAAAAUCCUUCUCCCAUCUAUUUAUUUCUAAAUUUGGAACAAAUAGUUGUUUGGAAAUAAAAUUAGAAAUAAAUAGUUGGUUGUUAACCAGUUAAAAAAAAAACAGAUGGUUGUUUACAAUUAUUUAUAAAAAUAGCAAAACGCUUCAUCCAAAAUUUUUUUAUCAAGAUAAAAAUACUUAGUUUUUAAAAGAUAAUAUGAAAAGGUUUUUCUAUCUCUCCGCUCAGUUAAGGUCAUUAAAAUAAUUCCGGAGGUGCUCGGCAUGCACAUGGAAACUUAGUAAAACUUUAAAUCGCAAGUGAAUCACAAGACAAUUAACCUACCUCUGAAUUAAAUCCCAUUUGAGGAAUCACUAUUACCAUUGUCAUCGCUUCUCAUAGAUCCAAAUUAAAUUGCUAAGACUUGCACGCUUAAAUAACAUCUCUUUAAAAAAAAAAAAAAUUUCCACUCUCACCCAACCUAGAUCUAGCAAUCUUUAUCGAUUUUAAGUUCCAGUAAAAUUCUUUUUCAAAUAAAAGUAAUUUAGUGUGAAAAACAAACCGAAUUGAACCAAAUCACACUUCAAUAUAUCCAAAAAGAUAAAAUUAAAAUAUAUUUUACAUACCUAGUGAAAUGACCUUUGACUAGUACUAGUAGUACUCGGCAACAAAAGAGGAGGAGGAGGACAUGCUAAUUGUUGGCUAGGAUAAAAGUAAGAUCAACAACUUAAAAAAGGAAUUAAGCAAGUCCUUUGCAAUGAAGGAUUUGGGACCCGCAAAACAAAUUCUUGAGAUGGAAAUCUUGCGAGACAGGUAGAACCGUAAACUCUGGUUAUCUCAAGAACGGUAUGUUAAUAAAGUUCUUGAAAUAUUUAAUACGAAUAAAUCCAAAGUAGUUUGUUCUCCACUUACAAAUCAUUUCAAACCCAGCUUAGAGCAGUGCCCAAAGAGUGACACAAAAAAGAAGGAAAUGAAAAAAGUUCCUUAUGCAUCGGCGGUUAGCAGUCUAAUCUACGUGAUGGUAUGCACAAGACCUGAUAUCGCCUAUGCAGUUGGUGUGGUAAGCAGAUUUCUAUUCAAUCCCGAUAAGGAACAUUGGGCAGCAGUCAAAUGGAUAUUUAGGUAUCUUCGAGGUAAUUUUAAUAACUGAAUAUGCUUUAAUGAUGGUAAAAUUGUGUUAGAAGGUUUUUCAGAUUCAGACAUGGUAGGGGACGUGGACUCAAGAAAGUCUACAUCAGGAUAUAUAAUGACUUUUGUAGGGGGAGCAGUUUCAUGGCAAUCUCGACGACAAAAAUGUGUUGCCCUAUCUACUGCUGAAGCAUUGUAUAUUGCAAUAAUGGAAGCAUGUAAAGAACUCUUGUGGAUGAAGAAGUUCUUACAAGAAGUGGGCCACAACCAAGAGGAGUAUAUCUUGUAUUCAGAUAAUCAAAGCACAAUACUACCUAGCAAAAAUACAACUUUCCACUCCAUAUCCAAACACAUUGACAUCAUAUAUUAUUGGAUACGUGAUGUGUUGGAAGAAAAAGCCCUACAGCUAAAGAAAAUACACAUUGACAACAACGGCUUAGAUAUGAUGACAAAAUCUCUAUCUACAGUGAAGAUGCAAGCCUGUCAAACUUUUGCAAGUUUGACACCUUCUCCAAAUUGCUAGUGAGGGGAAGAUUUCUUAAGUAGGUUACUCUCGAUUGGAGAGGCCAAUGCAAUUAUGUAUAUUUGUAGUAUAAUAUGUAUAGUAGUGAGUGUGUAAAAGUAAAAAGAAAAAAAAAAUCAAGAGGGAUCAGUAGAUAAAUCAACAUGAUGUUCCAUACCCAAAAAAUCAAGGGAGAUUAGGAAACAAAUCAAAGUGAUCUUCUCAGAUCUACAAAAUCACAAGAGAUUAGGAGAUAAAUCCUCGUGAUUUUCAUAUCGUACAAUCCCAAUUGCAUUUGCUCCUAUAAAUAGGAGUCAUUCUCAACGGAGAAGUAUAUACAAAAGCAAGAAUAUCAAAGCAGCGUGACGGAGGAAAUAAUUUUUUUUCUUCCAAGAGAAAGUUAUGUUGAGAGAGUUAUCUAAUUUCUGAGAGAUUUAAAUCCACAAAUUAAAGACAGUGAGAGAUUCGCCUUAGUGUGAAGUUGUAUCCCAUUAUUUAUCAUAGUGGAAGUUUGAAGUGGACUACGUUUCUGGAUUUUUCCCUUCACCUUGGAUGGUUUUCCAAGUUAAAAUUCUAGUGUUAUUUACUAUUCAUCUUUACCGCUUUUAUUCAAUAUUUUAUCCUAUUUAAUUUUCAUAGAACUAGUAGUGGGAAAAAAAUAUCAGGGCCUUCUCAACAAAUAUCAUUCUUUUUCCCAACAACAUGAAGCUUGAAGACAGGAUGAACUCCAUUUGGAUAGAUUGGUGAUUUAGAUGUUUCAAAAAAUGAAUAAUUAAUUAUACCUAAUUAAGAAAGCAUAAAAGAACUACUCUUCUUCUCCUUGGUUUGAUCCCAUAGACACAUGGGCAGUGAAGAACUUAUGUUCUUCCCUAUUUCUCUUCAAUGCUUGUUAAUCUCGAAGUCCAAGUAGAGGGAGUAGUGCAUGUUUCUUGGGUCCAACCAAGAGUUCUGGGCAUUCACCAAGUUAAAUCCUUGUGAGAUCGGUUGGAUGGUUAACUGGAUAAAGUACACACUGCUUUGUUAUCCGUUGAAGUAGAAACACCUGAUCUCGUCACUAUGUAGUCUUAUGUUGCUUCCCUCUCCACCAAUUGUGACAUCCCUUAGCUAAAUUUGCCGACAACAAAGCGAAAGGAGGUGAAAGAAAAGAGAAGUGCGAGGCAGUUGGCACUUUGUCCAUACUAGGGCUUCCUUCUGUGUCCCUAAGUUUUCUUCAAUCAUUUUUCAUUGCAAGUGGCUGUCUCAUGCACUUAAGGGGAAUGUUUUCAGCAGUCGAUCAAAGACUUAUUUAUUAGGUUGAAGAUGAUCAUUUACUGACUGAAGACAAACAACAGAAUAUGCAAGGAGAAUCUCAUUCGAUAUUCCUGAUAUGAUUUGUGUUGUGCAUGGAUUGCUCAUUAUAUUUUCAAAUGAACAUGAAAUUCGUUGUGCCAAUCGUCUCACUCUUGCGUGCGUGCUCUCGCAUUGCUCAUGCUUCUUAGAGCAUAUGAUGCUACUGUAUAAAUCUGCAUGCUCCAUGGCCUCGAGUUCUUCAUGAUUGAAGAUUUGGGUUUCAGCUAAUUCGACGAAGUGACUAUGGCUCUCGCUCUCGCGCGCACACAAUGCUCGUGCUUCUUGGGGCAUAUAUGGGUUGACACUGUACAUAUCUGCAUACUCCAUGGCCUGCAAAGUCGAUGUAUGAGAGCUAUUCCAUAUGAUACCACUUGCAUCCCCUACUAUCGGCAUUGGACAAGUAGGAGUUAUCCUAUCAUAUUGUUCCCUUAAUUAGGGCAAUCCGUGUCCCAAACUCAAUGAAUUUCUUUCUUGCUGCAGUUUUGUCGCUCUAUUCAUACCCUUCCAAUAACGUGACACCUGCUUGAAAUUUCAAAUCCGAUUCAGUGGUAUUAUACCAACCAACUAGCACUUCAAAAACUGCUCAAAACCCUUAUGCCUUGUGGAGAGUCAAUAGGGUAUGGAUACUUAGCUAGAGAAUAGAUCGCAACGUAAAAACAAAUAAAUUACUCGCAUUUGGGAUUAAAAGCAUAGUGAAGAACUACAUAGGAGAAAGAUCCAAGAUUUUAGAAGCCAAGAAAAGAAAAGGAAAUACGGGGGGAAUUCCCUCAGCUAAAAAUACACUUUAAUCUCUUCUCUUUUUUGUAAAAGCACUUUUUGUAAUUCUUUUGAUUUUCUGAUUUUUUUUCUUUUUUUCCUUUUUUUUUUCUCUAUUCUCUUUUCAUUUUUCCCUUUUUCCCUCCGUUGGCCAUCCACGAGGCCUGUGUAUGAAUACAAAUAGCCUGUGAAUAGAGACUUGCUGUCACGCCCCGAACCCCGAGCGCGCGCACAUCCCACUACGGUCGAUCAAAAAUGCGACAUCCCAGGAUAUGUCGCCGACCCAUUUAUUUUAUUACGCAUGCGGAAGUGAAACAAAUCCCCUGACAAUAAAACACGGGAUAGAAAAGUAGGAAGCAAAACCACAACAUAACACUUCCCUAAUUCAACAGAAUUACAAACAGAGGUCUACGGCCAAAAGUCUACAAAAGAUCGGCCCUGAAAAAAGGAAUUGUCCUACGACCUACAAGUCGGACACGCUCUCCAAUCCUUAUGACUUCACAUCUGCAACUCCUCAAGGCCAACCAAAGCUAUUUGGCCGCUCCGUCCACCAGGGACCUGAAAUGGUUAUUCAAUAACCACUGAGACAACGUCUCAGCAAGUUCAACCCCCUAAACCCCUAUUAGAAAGAAAAUACGCCCUGGGUGGCAUAUCCACAUCACACAGAAGACUUACCUCGCCUCAGCCUUCAUAUGCAGGUUAGCACAAUUUAUAUAAAUCAACCACGUACAAUUAUGAUAACCAAACAACCAUGGCACAAUCACAUUAUCAAACAAUUCAACCACUUGGAUCGUCUCAGCGAUCAAUCGACUCGGCCGAUUACAUGUCAUUCUAGCAAAUCAAUCAUUGCUCUCAAUCACGACCCUAUAGGAAGGUUUAACAAUCAGUGGCAAUCACGGCCCCACUCGGCACGACCUCUCCUAGGUGGUACAUCACGGCCUCACUGGGCACGACCUCUAAUAGGUGGUCAAUCACGGCCUCACUGGGCACGACCUCUCAUAGGUGGUCAAUCACGGCCUCACUGGGUACGACCUCUCAUAGGUGGUUCAUCACGGCCUCACUAGGCACGACCUCUCAUAGGUGGUUCAUCACGGCCUCACUGGGCACGACCUCUCAUAGGUUGUUCAUCACGGCCUCACUGGGCACGACCUCUCAUAGGUGGUUCAUCACGGCCUCACUGGGCAUGACCUUUUCCUAGGUGGUACAUCACGGCCUCACUGGGCAUGACCUUUCCUAGGUGGUACGUCACGGCCUCACUGGGCACGACCUUUCCUAGGUGGUACAUCACGGCCAAUCUCCCAUCAAUUUCUACACUUAGGAUUUAUAAAGAAUCCCUAUUUAUCACAAUCACACUCCAUUUGCCACAAUCAAUCAUCAAAUUCAAAUUCUAAAUACACAGCAGCGAUCAGCACGAAAUUCUGAGAGAAUAAGGUUCCAAACUAAUUUUCAGAAUUUAUUAAAUAAUUAAAUUUAUUCCGAAAAUUAAUUAAAUAAUAAUAUCCAUGUCUUUCACGAUCCACACUCAAUUUAUAAUAUCAAAUCAUCAAUUUCAAAAUCUGACUACACAGCAGCGACCGGCACGAAAUUCUGAGAAUUUAGGGUCCUGACAAAAUUUUCGGAAUUUAAUAAUUAAUUAAAUUUAUUCCGAAAAUAAUUAAAUAAUAAUAUUUUAAUCAUUUCGAUUAAUAAAAUAUUAUUAAAUUAUUAAACAAUUUCGAAAUAUUUAUUUAAUCCCAAAAGUAAUUCAUUUAUGUCAAAUCAAGGCUUAUUUUAAAUAAACAUACUUACCCUUAAUUAAGCACACUUUAAAUUAAACCACCACCUUAAUCAAAUCUACUCUUAAUUAACAUAAACUAACAACCUAAUAAUACUUAGCAUAAACUAAACCUCCCUAAGCAUAAUUAACCCUCUAAGUGAGGUUUAGUGAGCUAAACUUACCGGAUUAGCGAGCCGAGCGGACCAAAACGACAAGGGCGACGCGAGGAUCGACUUUCUUCAAGGCGGGCCGAGCAUCUGGGCUCGGGAAGGCAGCCAAAACGGGCCAAGCAUGGGCUGCCAUACCCACUUUUCCAGCCACUGAUUUGGGGCCGAGAAGGGCGGAUCCGGCGUCGGAACAGCGGAGGAGGACUGCUGGUGGCUCGGACGGGUGAGGCGGCGGCUAGGCGAGGCCUCACGGUGGCCGGAGGGAGCUCCGGCAGCUCCUGCGCGAGCUGAACAGCAGCUCGGGACGACGAGCUGGGCGAGAAUACCACCAAGACGCGCGGCCAGCAGCAGCGCGCGAGGAUGGCAGCUCGACGGUGAGACGACGCGGGGCGAGGAUGGCGACUCCGACGAGCGACGACUCCUGGCGGCGUCGGCUGCUGCUUCUGCCCGGCGUCCUACCAGAUCUGAGAUCUCGAGCAAUGGAUGGAGGAGGAGAAAGAAGGCAGAGCAUCACACACGUGGGCGAGCGGAGCAGCGAACGGCGGACGAACGGCGGCGGCGAAGCCUCUGGCGGACGAGCGUGCGAGCGGGCGAAGGGGCUGCUUCGGCUUCUCUGCAAAUUUUCUGGUCUUCGCACACCAACCAUGGAGGAGAGAGGCAACGGGGGAGAGAGGAAGAAGAGAGGGAGGAGAGAGAAGAAGGGGGGCCAUUUCUUUUUCUUUUCCCUUUUCUUUUUCUCUUUUUCCUUCAUCCAAUCAAGGUGGCCCACCAUGACCUAGGAUGACCUCACAAUCCACUCACCCAAAUCCUCCACAACUUCUCCAAUAGUUGCACUUUCAUUUUUCCGCCGGGGUCCAAUUCUUGUAAAUCCAAUUUCUUCAAUUCCCAUCAAUUCUCUUCCAAUUGAGUCCAAUUGAAGUCCAUAAAAUUAAUCAAAUGUCACCACACUUUAAUUCACAUCUUCACUUGUCCAUAGAACCAACUUAAGUCCCAAAAACGUGACCAAAGAUGGACCUACUAAUUUCUCGAGCCAAAUUAGCCAUUCUCUGAUUAUUUUGCUGAAAAACUCGGCUUGCAUGAAAAAUCUUCCAAAGAUUAGUCAAUGUUCCUAAAAUGAUUUGUGACAUACCCAGACUUCCAAUUUCUGAAUUCGAUCUCAAUUUCACGGUUAAUUUCAUUUUGGCACGAUACUAGCGCGGCCCAACCUACCGGGUAGCCUCUAGGAAUUUUCAUGCAUUUGACCUGUGGUUGAUCAUCUCAAGCCACAAUGUACAUCUUUGAAACAUUGGCGACUUUCGGUUGUCGGGGUAAUCUCAAUGUUUCAAAUACGAACACAGGGUACCCAAUCGAUAGAAAAGUCGGUCUAGUGCCUAUCGACAAGAAUUGUGUGAUCUGGUGGAAUCACCCACACUUGAUCACAUGCCUCUGUCGAGUCGUCCUAUCUCCGAUCUCUAAUCGAUCUUUAAUUGUGCCGUAAUGACCCUUGCAGAUUAGCUCGAUCGAAAGGUCGUUUCCUGAUCAAAUUCUCGAGUCUGAUGCAUUAUAAACUCUUAACAGCUUCACCCGAUAGACUAGCUUUCACAUGAGUGGCCGACUCAAGGAAAAGAACUAUAUGCGUGCCAACGAAAUGCCUGUCUCAAUUCAUUGAAAAUAGACUUGGAAAAUCGGGAUGUCACACUUGCAUAUUUAUAUUGUAGUCAAGAUUGAAGUUUGAUUUGACUAUAUAUAUUUAUAGAUAACCCUUUCUGACCAAAACCAAAAAUACUCAAAUCAAAUACGUAACUUCCAAAGCUUUAAGAAAUAUCCUAUAAGUAGAUUAUUGACAUGUUUUUAAAUAGUUUAAGAAUCACACAGUAUCAGGAAUGUAGGUUAAGGGUUUGUGUUGUGGUGCUAUACUCUCAAUAAUCAAAGAUCAUUCUAACUCGCUAGACUUCAACCAAUCUCAUAGCAUCAUACUCAUAAGUACCUANNNNNNNNNNNNNNNNNNNNNNNNNNNNNNNNNNNNNNNNNNNNNNNNNNNNNNNNNNNNNNNNNNNNNNNNNNNNNNNNNNNNNNNNNNNNNNNNNNNNNNNNNNNNNNNNNNNNNNNAGAGAGAGAGAGAGAGAGAGAGAGAGAGAGAGAGAGAGAGAGAGAUAUGAAGCCCUAGGUCGGCUACUUAGACGAUAAAAUCGGGAGAGUGACUUACACGUAUGGAAACUUAGUCAUAAAAUUGAAUAAAUUUUCUUUUCCAUGCUAGUUCAGGAAAAUGAGCAUAAACUUGUCAAUUUAGAUUAGAAUGACCGGAUUCCAAAGCAAAAGAAUGGAGACUCGAAGAAUCAUAAAUUUUGUGUUUUUAGUUUCUUCAACUAAGCAUUGUAGGCUUGUUAAUUUUUUAUGAAAGUGAGCUAAAUAGCAGUGGACAAAAUGAAAAAGUACAAGAAUUUCAAUGGUUGCUCUUCUAGGCCCCCGGGGAAGUUGAAAUAGCAUCAAUUGUUCGAGAUUGAUGGCUGUAACUCUUCGAAGAUGUAGGCUUUAAAAGCCUCGACUCUCAANNNNNNNNNNNNNNNNNNNNNNNNNNNNNNNNNNNNNNNNNNNNNNNNNNNNNNNNNNNNNNNNNNNNNNNNNNNNNNNNNNNNNNNNNNNNNNNNNNNNUUUGCUGUACCACAAGAAGAUAUUCUAUUAUAUUCAGUUGGUGAUAAGCACAAUAUAAGGAGUACAUUGCUUUUGCAUCGAGUGUUUGUCUCUUGAUUAUUUCUUCCUGAGACAUUCCGCUGGUUUCUUCAGUUUCUUUUCCUCUUUCAGAGACUGAUGCAGUGGUAGGAGUAAUUCCUUUUUCUACAACAUCCCAUUCCAGAGGAUCCUUUGAUCGUAGGAAAGCUUUCAUCUUGUUCUUCCAGAUGUUGUAAUCAUUUCCAUCAAAGUAGGGUGGUCUGGUAUUGCUUUGCCCUUCCAUCAGCCUUGGUGCUAGCAUACUAGCCAUGGAUCUUUUACUAUGAAGUAAAACACUUCAAAUAAAGUAAGUACACAGGCUCUGAUACCAAUUGAUAUUGCUAGUAUGAGUACCUAGAGGGGGGUGAAUAGGUGCCUAAACAAUUUAUCGAUAUACGGAAGCGAUUCUUAACAUAUGAUCGAAAGUAAAUUCUCUCUUAAUUAACAAAACGAAAUACGAUUGAGGUAGAGAGAGUGAGGAAGAGAAAAUUGAACACAGGAUUUAUAGUGGUUCGGCUUAUUCCAAGCCUACGUUCACUCUUCCGCACUGACAGCCCACCGGCUGGAUUUCACUAUGAUCAAAAGAGAAGUUACAGCACAGCUUUGCCUUGAUUCCACAGUGUAGAUGUUUUACUACACCUCCUCAAGGUCUCUCACAAAUAUAGACUCUAUUUUGUAUACAAGUAUUCGCUCAAAGGAUUUAUCUAAACAAAUAGGAGCUUCAGACUUUGGAAUUCUUCUAUCGCGCACACCUCGAACAACUAAGAACUUCUUCCUUAUAUACUCCUUUAUGCCAUCAUACAUGUUGGCACUUACCAAAGGAAUUCCUCCAAUCUACCCGUUGGACGGAAUCAAUUAGGAAGAUUGUUCGAGCUAUUAAAGGAACGUGUUGAUAGCCCAUCAAUCCUGUUCGCCCAUACAAUCAGGAUCUCGGUUUCCAUAAGUAGAACCUUCCAAUAAUAUUUAGACAAUCAUCGAAUCUUCAGUCAUUGAAUCAAUCUUGAUCAAUCAAAGGAUUCUUAUACAUCUUCUCCAACCACGAGAUCUUCUCCAGAUGAUAAGGUUAAAUCCUGAACAAAACAUCCAGUUCUGGAUAACCUUUCUUCAACGGAUUAGAGACUGUCAAUGAGGAUAGACUUUGAGUCUUGAGUCUGGCUGUCCGGAAGUCUUCAGACUUUAACUAACAGAGUCUGCAGACCUUCAGACUAGACUGAUGGAAACGUUUUGUCAACUUCAAAACACUUCACGAAGAUUUCUCCAACAACUCUUAUAUACUUUUUUGUCAUGUACAGCUAUGUUACGUACUUUUUGAAUUAAAAUUAUAUAUAACAUUACGAUCAAGUGAUUUUUUUGAAUUGGACGCCAUCGCCCUUUUAGUUAAUUGACAUUGACUAACAGAGUGUGGAUCCAUCCUAAGCGAAGACUGUGUGCUAAUUAGUUUUGGAAAAUAAUAUUUCAAUAUAUCACCGUACCUAAAACAAUAUGUGGAAAUGUAAAAGCAAGGAAUCAGAUCAUCAGAACACCCAAGAUACAACCUGUACAAGACAAAGCCCGAACCCAUGCUCAUCCUCUCAGGGAAGCAUUCACAAGCAGCAGAAUUCAAGAUUCAAGAACCACCCUCCGCAAAUGUACAGCGUGUCAGCGACUAUUGAAGGCAGUCUCUAAGGAAAUAAAAUUACAUAAACAAGGCAGAUAGCAGCAAAAAGAGACGGAGAUCCUCCAUGGUUUAGAAGUGAUGGUGGUGCUUCUUGCCAUGAUGAGACUCUUUAUCUUUUUUCUUGGCCUCCUUCCUCUCGUGGUGCUCAUGGAAGGCGAACCCGACAGCCCCGACGGCAGCGGCGGCAGCUAUUUCCUCCUUUAUCUUGUGCCGGUGAGCGUGCUCCGGGUCCUUCUUGGCCUUAUGCUUCUCAUGCUGCAUUUUGCACAUCAUUAAUCAGAAAUUGCGUGCACGAAACAAAAUGAGUUAAGGUAAACAGGAAAGGAGCAAAAAAAAAAAAGUUCUCUAUUAUGUAUACUUUUUUUUAUACAAGCUCUGAGCAUGGGAUAAGUUUGAGAAAAAAAAUUAAUUUAUUCACUUUGAAAAGAAGCAUUUGAUCCUGUAAAUAGUGCUAUGGAUUACAACUAUGGUUUUUGUUUAAGCCAAUUGUAGGGAAAUCUUAUUCCUCUAGCUGAUGGGUGAAGGAAAUCAAUUAAAUUCAAACUAUUGUUCAUUUAUAAGGAUGAUCCAAUCUCGCAUGGCAUGCCAUUAUUAUGUCGAGUUGAAAUAUGUGAGUUUAAUUGAGAUCUUUUGCAUUCAAUGCUCGUUAAUAACAUGAUGAUUCAGGUCAAUAAGGUGAAUACGAGAAUUUUAUCUAAAUUAUAAAAUGGGAAAAGAAUUUCAAAAAUUGAAAAGAAGAUGAAAAUUAUUACCAAGGCAUAAGCACCGGCAGCGACGGCACCGAGCUCGCCGAGCUGCUGGAGGUGCUUGUGGUGCUUCUCCUCCUUCCUGUAAUCAACCGUAGGCUCCAUGAAGGCAUCAUCCUUCUUGUGGUGGCUGCGGUGGAGGUUGUGGUGGUGGUGAUGGUGGUGUCCUUCGGCCAUGGUUGGUGGUUGUUUUUUUAAGGAAUACUAGAAUUGACGAAGGAUCAGGGAAAGGACUAUAGCUGAAGUGUAUGAUAUGCGUUGUGUGACCGUUAGAGAGGAGGGGCGUAUUUAUAGGGAAAGUUGGCACAAGCAAAGUCUUGCAUCCAAUCGGGCCAACGCGGGAGGCCUUAAACGCGUGAUGGACGGUCGGGAUUGCUUAGUCUGGUUCUUCUCGAUGCAUUUUUGUCUUCUUUCGAUGGGGGGCGGUUUCUAGUUGAGGGAUUUUUGGGACGGCAAAUUUAUUAGAGAACAAUGCUCUAACAAUACCAUAUACUGGACAGUGAUGUUUCUAUCGUUUCCCUUUGAUUUGUCUGAUGAUAAUUUCUUAGUCUUGAGCUUGAAUUGCAUGAUUUGUUUAAUAAUGUAAUUGUAGGGGUCCAAAGUCUAAGAUGAAACUUUCUGGUGGAGGUGGGUGGUUUUAACUUAUCGAUUAAGUAAUCGCAUCACAUGAAUGUGCUCUAUGGGUUGUCCCGUGGUUUCAUACCUACUCGUUUUUGCAAAAGUGAUCAUCUCUUUUUAGAUGCUUUAAGAAUAAGAGAAUACGUUAAUUUUUUCAUCACCGUACUUCCAUUUUUUUUCUUUUUUUUUUCCUGCUAUACUCUUAGAUUGUUUGUAAGAGGCAUGGCAUUAUAUCCAUAUUAAUUUUCAAGGGAUGAAACCCGAAUUUAAUUAAAUAGUAGAACUAGUUCGUAUAUGCUCUAGCGAUGCAUUUAGUGGAACCCCUUCAUUUUAGAAUUGGUUGACUUGCCUAUAUACAUAUAAAAUUUAAUGGGGUAGAUAUUAUCUGGUGUUGAUUAGAAGGUGGACAUCAAUAAAACAUAUAUAAAUGAAUAAAUAAGUAAAAUUAAAAAUUCAAGGACUACAUCACCCAUUGCACAUUAUCCAAAGCAUCCAAGUACUAACACUCUUUGCCUAUGAUUUGAAAGCAGCCUGUACAUCUUUAUUUCUUUUUAACCGAAAUAAAAGAACCUUCCAAUAUCUUAUAAAAACUUUUGAAAGAUUUGAGGUGACGUACGAUGACAUGAAGAUUUUUCUAUGAAAAAAUUGAACGCGUUUUGACAUUACAAUUCCAUGUUUUUGUCUUCUAUGGUUUUAUCAGGGGCACGUGCACUCCUCUUGAAGUCGCGUGUCGGUUUUUGGUGCCUUCGCGUUCGCCCGUAAAAUGCAUACUCGGAUGACGGCGAGUCUUCGCCGCGUCGGCGACUUCGUCUUUGUCAACAAAACCAAAAUGAACUUUCCGACGAUGGCGUGUCUUCGCCUCGUCCGCCUUAGCGCGUGGUCCAUACCGUGUGAUAAUGCUCUCAUCGUCACGAGAAUUCGGUCAGCAUCGACUUCUUCACCUAUUCCCAAGUUGCAGCAGCAUGACACGACGAAAUCCUUGCGUGGCGCAGCCUUCUCCGGCAUUGCAUGGCUAGAGUACCGCCUGACGCACGGGUCGAAUCGGAAGCUAAUGGGAUCUACACACAAGAAAACAUUCGACCAUCUGUCGCAUCCUAGCGGGAGAAGACUAAAUCCGAUCAAGCCAUGAGAAUAUAGAGUUUAUGUAGCUACGCAAAAUUGCAAGAUUUUGAAAUACAAAGCUCCUUUUUCCAUGACCUAACGAUAGAGUUGUCUUGCGUGGGAGGCACAUGGCGUGUUGCCACGUCAGCAAUCUCCGAUGAAAAAAUCAAAAGGAUUAUAUUAAAAUUUCCUGUAAAGACUUAGGAUUACAUAAGAAAAAAUUUAUAAGUUUUAGAACUGAUUUGACUUCCGUACAAAAUAUGUAGGUGUAAUUAAGUAAUUUUAAAGGUUCAUUUGAGACAAAUUGAAGGUUAUAAUUGUAAUUGGCCAUUAGCAACGGAUCGAUCCGACGAGUGAAGGAAAGGAUAAUUUUGAGAUGAAAAGGGAGAUUGAUUGGAGAAGGAACAUUCCUUUUUUGGGCUUUUGCAGGCCCAUUGGCAAAGCCAUGCUGGCCCAACGGCCACCGGUCAAGUAGAUGGGCCCAGAGUUUGAGCCUUCGGGCCCAUAUAAUUCGAUUUGGGCCGAGCCUUUUACUAGGCCAUAUCGAGAGAAGAUGGGCCUGAUCGACACAGCCCAACCCAGCCCAGCCCAAUUGCCACUCCUUCCUCAUUAUGUAAGUCGAUAUAUGAGGUAAGCACGGAAUCAUCUAAUUCAGUGAAAAUUCAACCAUGAACUUUAUUUAUAUUUUUUUUUUUUGGCUGAAGUUUUUGGAUCUAUAUUAUUAAACCCCAAAGUGUCAUUUAUAUUCCUACGAGAAUCCCUCCAAGGCCCAUAGUUUGGGCGUUAAGGCCCAAAUAAGUUGAUUGUGUGGGGCCUACCUGGCCUAGCCUAAUUGUCACCGCCUCCUCAUUAUGUAAGUUGAUAUAUUAGGUAAGUACGGAAUCACCUAAUUCAAUGAAAAUCCAACCAUUAACUUUAUUACUCUUUUUCCUUUUUGGGGGCUAAAGUUAUUGGAUCUAUAUUAUUAAACCCAAAUUGUCAUUUAUAUUCCUACGAGAAUCCCUCCGCGGCCCGGAGUUUAGGCCUUAGGGCCCAAAUACGUUGAUUUUGCCAGUCCGACCAAGCUCGGCCCAAUUGCCACCCUUCCUCGUUAUGUAGUCGAUAUAUUAGGAAUGAGUGGAAUAAUCCAAUUUAGUAAAAAUUUAACCAUUAACGUUAUUUUAUUUUUUGCUAAAGUUUUUGGAUCUAGAUUUUUAAACCAAAAGUGUCAAAUAUUAUUUAUAUAUUGAAAUAUAUUUUAAUUUUAUUAAUUUUUUUGGUCGAAUAAUUUUAAUUUUGUUAAUUAUGUUAAUUUAAGAAGUUUAGUUUCCGAUAAAAGUAAUUUUCUUAAUAUGAAUAUUAGAAAUCAUAUUUACCUUUAUUCCACCCUCCCACGAAAUAAUUUUGUCCGGUCUAUGUUCCUAUCAUAUCUGACUUUAUCAUAUUUUGAGCACACAUCAAACGAAGAAUAAGAUAAAUUUUAUCAUAUCUUGAAUUUUAUCAUGACUGUCAAAUGCAAUCAAGGUUUUUCUAUCUAUUGUAUUUUUUGCAUCAAAUUCUUAGUGGUUCAUUAACGCUUUUCCUAGAUUCGCUUGAGGCACAUUUGUAACACAAUUGUGUAGCUAUUAAUGUUAUGCUGAUGACAUUUUCUACUAGGCAACUUCAAGCAUAACUUGCUUUUUGGUUACAUGGUCCUUUCCAAUUUCCCCUUAUUUGUUUCAUUUUUUUGUUAAUCAUCGUGUUAAAUCUUGAUUUGUUUUAACAAAUUUGACAGAUAAAGAGCCUCUUGGGAACAAAGGUUGAGUGGAUGUACUAUAUUCUCAAGGCAUCUAAUGCUGGUGAUUUGCGAUGCUAUUGACAACUAUGUCAUGUACACAAGGCUACUCUCAAUGCACAACCUGGUUUGGUCGAAAAUGACAAAGAUCUAUUGGAGAAAAUCAACAAUCUCUGCCUAAUGGAAAUCAUAUUCAGGUCUCGCUUUCAAUUCUUUUCUUAUUAUUUCACAUUUUGCAUUAUAACUGUGUAUUCCUCCACAUAUAAAAUACACAAUCUUAUCCUGCAACCGUCCAUAAGAAGAUAGGACAAUUCCACCCAGCAUUAUUGAUGAAAGCCCAAAGUCUUUGUAUAGCUCAUGUUGAGCACCUACUCAUGAAGAGCCUUUCUAUAAGUCUUCCAGAUUCUUUUGUAUUUCCCUUGGUGGUUGUGUUGUGCUGUGUUCUAUGACAUUGGAUGAGUAGAUUGGACGCCAUCAUUAUUCUGGCUGUGUGUAUAUGAUCCUUCUCUAGUUUAAGUUCAUUUGGCUAUAGUUUGACUUAGCCUUAUGGUGCAGCUGUAUACACGAAGCUUGAAGACAGAAUGAACUCCUUCUGGAUAGAUUGGUGGUUUAGAUGUUUCAAAAAAUGAAUAAUUGAUAGACAUAUGGAUGGGUGGAAGCUUGAUACCUAAUUAAGAGAGCAUAAAAGAACCACUCUUUUUCUCCUUGGUCUGAUCCCACAAACACAUGGGCAGUGAAGAACUUUUGUUCUUCGCUAUUUCUCUUCAAUUUUGGUUAAUCUCAAAGUCCAAGUAGAGGGAACAGUGCAUGUUUCCUGGGUCCAACCAAGAGUUCUAGGCAUUCUGCAAUUUAAAUCCGUGUGAGAUCAGUUGGAUGGUUGGCUGGACAAAGUACACACUGCUUUUCUAUCCGUUGAAGCAGAAACACCUGAUCUCGUCACUGUGUAAUCUUAUGUUGCUUUUACCUCCGCCAAUUGUAACAUCCCUUCACUAAGUUUGCCGACCAAAGCGAAAGGAGGUGAAAGAAAAAGAGACAAGUGCGAGGCAGUUGGGCAUUUUGUCCAUACCUGGACUUCUUUAUGUGUCUCUAAGUUUUCUUCAAUCAUUUUUUUUUUUUUUUUGCAAGUGGCUGUCUCAUGCACUUCAGGGUAAUGUUUUCAGCAGUCGAUUAAAGACUUAUUUAUUAGCUUAAAGAUGAUCAUUUACUAACUAAAGAUAAACAUCAGAAUGUGCAAGGAGAAUCUCAUUCGAUAUUCCUGAUAUGAUUUGCGUCAUGUAUGAAUUGCUUAUUAUAUUUUCAAAUGAACAUGAAAUUCAUUGUGCCAAUUGUCUCACUCCUGCAUGCGUGCACUCGCAUUGCUGGUACUUCUUAAGGCAUAUGAUGCCACUAUAUAUAUUUGCAUGCUCCAUGGCCUUGAGUUCUUCACAGUUGACAACAGUUCUCACUCUUGUGCGUGCACAUAAUGCUCGUGCUUCUUAUGGCAUAUAUGGGUGGACACUGUACAUAUCUGCAUACUCCAUGGCCAGCAAAGUCGAUGUAUGAGAGCCAUGCCAUAUGAUACCAUUUGCAUUCCCUGCUAUUGGCAAUGGACAAGUGGGAGUUGUCCUAUCAUACUGUUCCCUUAAUUGGGGCAAUACGGGUCUCAAAUUCGAUGAAUUUCUUUCUUGCUGCAGUUUUGUAGCUAUCCUAUUUUGCAUUUUUUUAAAGUUAUUCAUACCCUUCCAAUAAGGCGACACCUGCUUGAAAUUUCAGAUCCGAUUCAGUGGUAUUAUACCAGCCAACUAGCACUUCAAAAACUGCUCAAAACCCUUUUGCCUUGUGGAGAUUCAAUAGGGUAUGGACACUUAGCUAAAGAAUAGAUUGCAACGUAAAAACAACAAAAUUACUCGCACUUGGAAUUAAAAGCACAGUGAAUAACUAUAGGCUACUAUGUGUCACGGGCCAAUCGAUUGAGAUCGUGACCGUGAGGCGACUCGGGUAACUUUGGAUCACCUAAGCCAAGCCUUACUAGAUCGAACACCUACCCGCUCACUUACCCAGAUCGUUGAGAGAGAAAGUUAGAGAGAGGAGCUCUGAGAAGGAAAGGAAAGCUUUGAUAUUUCUGAAAUUGAUUGGAUGAUUACGAAUGAGGGAGGACACCCCUUUUAUAGCUAAGGGCCUCGGAUUACAUCCGUUGAUCUACUUUUCAUCCGACGGGCGAGAUCGCACUGCCUCAACUACUGACAUAAAUAUUCAACUACCAUCUACCGACAUUAAUGAAAGGGAAACUUCUAGAAUCAAGCGAAAUGACAGUGUCACCCACCAUUGGAAACUUUGGGGAGCAAGGCUUGACUUGGGUGAUCCAAAGUUGCCCGAGUUGCCGCGCAAUCACGAUCCCAAUUGAUCGGCCCGUGACAAGUGAUAUCAGAGCAAAAGAGAGAUCCGUUUGAGAGACCAAGGAGCACCAAUUGUUCAAAGGAAUGUCGAGCCAAGAAGCUGUUAUGGAUGGAGAGGCCGCACAAGUCAAGGAGACCCGUGGCCGAGCAAAGAAAAGAGACGCCUUGAUGGACGUCGUAGCUGCGUUUGAUGAGAAGAUCGGGAAGGUUCGGAGCGCCGUGCUCGAACUCAUGGAAGGUCUUGAUGAUGUGCGAGACCGGAUCAUGGAGGUUGAGAGUUCGCUCCAUGAAGACUUCACGAGCGAGCUCAACCCGAAGCUACUGCGCCAUUACACGACAAGGACGAAGCCCUUGAAGCAUCGAUCGAUAUGUUGAAGGAGCGCGUUCAAGUGGUUGAGGAAGAAGCUCCACAUAGGGACGAGGUCGAAGCCAUGAAGGCUGAGAUCCAAGAGCUCAAGACCGAGCUCGCCCUAUGCAAGAUGAGCAUCACCAACGGUGCUGUGCCUACCCAAGCGAUGCCCAAACUUGAGGUGCCAAAGCCAAAUGAGUUUAAAGGCGAACGAUCCGCCAAGGAGGUGGACAACUUCAUUUGGAGCAUGGAGCAAUACUUCGGCACCGUCAACAUACACGACGAGUCGAUCAAGGUAUGAACCGCUUCCAUGUUCCUAUCCGACACGGCAAUGCUUUGGUGGCGCAACAAGUGUGAUGAGGUAAGACGCGGUGCCGAUCUCAUGUGCACAUGGGACGACUUCGUGAGAGAGUUCCGGGACUAUUUUUUCCCCGAGUUCGCUCAGCAAGAAGCUCGUAGCAAGCUCCAUCGCCUCGAGCAAAGAGGCGCGAUCUGAGAGUACAUGAAAGAGUUCACGGAGCUCAAACUCCAUAUUCGCAACUUAAGUGAAGAGGAGGCUCUCGGAGCAUUCAUGGAUGGAUUGAAGCCAUGGGCACUUCUCGAGCUCAAGAGACGUGACAUGAGUAGUCUUACGCGAGCGCUAAGCGUGGCCGGUCACUUGUCGACCUCACCAAGACCGAACCAAGGAGUUGACCGAGAGAUUGGAGGUCGGAUCGACCUUGUGAGGAUGAAGCACGAAGCACUCCUCGGGGUGCGCAUGAUCAAGGCGGCUAAGCCAAAACAUGGGGAGAAGGAACUUCCAAGCCAUCCUUCCAAAGGAGUCAACCACCAACGGACUACACGAGUAAGUUUGAUCAACCCCCGCCUUCUCCUUGCUUCAUUUGCCAAGGUCCACAUUGGACCCAAAAAUGCCUGAAGAAGGGUCGAAUCAAUGCCCUCCUUGCCAUCGAGAAAGAAAAGGAGGAGCCCAAAGAAGAUAAGCGACAAAUCCAGAUUGGAGCUGUGAGGAUGAUCAACUUGGUCCAAGCCUGAUCGCUGACCAAAGAAGAAAUCGCACCGAACACAAACAUGUUCUAUGUGGAGGUCAAAGUGUGUGGCCAAACACUUUAUGCUUUGGUCGACACCGGCGCAUCCAACAUGUUCAUGUCAACCGAGGUUGCAAAGGCUUUGGGACUUCACGUGGAACCAUCCGGGAAGUCAUACAAGCCCAUCAAUUCGGGUGACUUCCCUGGCGUAGGAGCAACACCCGACGUGGACGUCAAGAUUGGCGGAUGGAAGGGCAAGAUGGCGUUCGAGGUAAUCCCUCUUGACGAUUACGAUCUCAUUCUUGGCAUGCAAUUCUUUGAAAGUGUGGGAGCGAUGAUCAACAUGAGGACCAAGUGCAUGAUGAUCCUCGACCAAAAGUGCCCGUCGAUGAUCCCCAUGAUCAAGGGGGUGGUUGACACCAAGACCAUCGCGUCAAUCCGACGCCUCGACAAGAGCUUGAAGAACGUGAUGCGCAUCAACAAGCUGUCCGAGGUGAAGCCAAAGGUCAAGUUGGAUCCUACUCCAACACACGCCAUGCCCAUCCAAGCGCUCUUCCCCGAAGUUGAGUGCUCACCACACACCACGCCUAAGCCAAAGGUGGAGCCGCGUGCCAAGUCCGACUUCAUCAUAGAAGGUUGCGGCCCUUCGUUCGUGAGCAUCCAAGCGAAGCAAAAGAAGAACCAGAGAGCCCGUGCCAAAGCCCAUGCUCGUGCCAAGAAGGUUGACCGACAAGCUGUGAGCGACGAGGGCGUUGCUCAAAUGAGUGAGGGAGAAUGUCAUGGCCCGAAAGAAAGCCGACCCGAGAGGUUCUCGAAGGGCGAUCACGACUCACCCGUGGACCUCCUGCUCUCACUCGGAUUCCCACCAAGCCUACUCCCCAAAGUUUCCAAGGGUGGGCGACAUUGCCAUUUCGCAUGAUUCUAGAAGUUUCUCUUUCAUUAAUGUCAGUAGACGGUAGUUGAAUACUUAUAUCGGUAGUUGAGGCGAUGCGAUCUCGCCCGUCGGAUGAAAAGUAGAUCAAUGGAUGUAAUCCGAGGCCCUCAACUAUAAAAGGGGUGUCUUCCCUCAUUUGUAAUNNNNNNNNNNNNNNNNNNNNNNNNNNNNNNNNNNNNNNNNNNNNNNNNNNNNNNNNNNNNNNNNNNNNNNNNNNNNNNNNNNNNNNNNNNNNNNNNNNNNUGGCCAGCAAAGUCGAUGUAUGAGAGCCAUGCCAUAUGAUACCAUUUGCAUUCCCUGCUAUUGGCAAUGGACAAGUGGGAGUUGUCCUAUCAUACUGUUCCCUUAAUUGGGGCAAUACGGGUCUCAAAUUCGAUGAAUUUCUUUCUUGCUGCAGUUUUGUAGCUAUCCUAUUUUGCAUUUUUUUAAAGUUAUUCAUACCCUUCCAAUAAGGCGACACCUGCUUGAAAUUUCAGAUCCGAUUCAGUGGUAUUAUACCAGCCAACUAGCACUUCAAAAACUGCUCAAAACCCUUUUGCCUUGUGGAGAUUCAAUAGGGUAUGGACACUUAGCUAAAGAAUAGAUUGCAACGUAAAAACAACAAAAUUACUCGCACUUGGAAUUAAAAGCACAGUGAAUAACUAUAGGCUACUAUGUGUCACGGGCCAAUCGAUUGAGAUCGUGACCGUGAGGCGACUCGGGUAACUUUGGAUCACCCAAGCCAAGCCUUACUAGAUCGAACACCUACCCGCUCACUUACCCAGAUCGUUGAGAGAGAAAGUUAGAGAGAGGAGCUCUGAGAAGGAAAGGAAAGGAAAGCUUUGAUAUUUCUGAAAUGGAUUGGAUGAUUACAAAUGAGGGAGGACACCCCUUUUAUAGCUAAGGGCCUCGGAUUACAUCCGUUGAUCUACCUUUCAUCCGACGGGCGAGAUCGCACCACCUCAACUACUGACAUAAAUAUUCAACUACCAUCUACCGACAUUAAUGAAAGGGAAACUUCUAGAAUCAAGUGAAAUGACAGUGUCACCCACCAUUGGAAACUUUGGGGAGCAAGGCUUGACUUGGGUGAUCCAAAGUUGCCCGAGUUGCCGCGCGAUCACGAUCCCAAUCGAUCGGCCCGUGACAAGUGAUAUCAGAGCAAAAGAGAGAUCCGUUUGAGAGACCAAGGAGCACCAAUUGUUCGAAGGAAUGUCGAGCCAAGAAGCUGUUAUGGAUGGAGAGGCCGCACAAGUCAAGGAGACCCGUGGCCGAGCAAAGAAAAGAGACGCCUUGAUGGACGUCGUAGCUACGUUUGAUGAGAAGAUCGGGAAGGUUCGGAGCGCCGUGCUCGAACUCAUGGAAGGUCUUGACGAUGUGCGAGACCGGAUCAUGGAGGUUGAGAGUUCGCUCCAUGAAGACUUCACGACCGAGCUCAACCCGAAGCUACCGCGCCAUUACACGACAAGGACGAAGCCCUUGAAGCAUCGAUCGAUAUGUUGAAGGAGCGCGCUCAAGUGGUUGAGGAAGAAGCUCCACAUAGGGACGAGGUUGAAGCCAUGAAGGCUGAGAUCCAAGAGCUCAAGACCGAGCUUGCCCUAUGCAAGAUGAGCAUCACCAACGGUGCUGUGCCUACCCAAGCGAUGCCCAAACUUGAGGUGCCAAAGCCAAAUGAGUUUAAAGGCGAACAAUCCGCCAAGGAGGUGGACAACUUCAUCUGGAGCAUGGAGCAAUACUUCGGCACCGUCAACAUACACGACGAGUCGAUCAAGGUAUGAACCGCUUCCAUGCUCCUAUCCGACACGACAAUGCUUUGGUGGCGCAACAAGUGUGAUGAGGUAAGACGCAGCGCCGAUCUCAUGUGCACAUGGGACGACUUCGUGAGAGAGUUUCGGGACUAUUUUUUCCCCGAGUUCGCUCAGCAAGAAGCUCGUAGCAAGCUCCAUCGCCUCGAGCAAAGAGGCGCGAUCUGAGAGUACAUGAAAGAGUUCACGGAGCUCAAACUCCAUAUUCGCAACUUAAGUGAAGAGGAGGCUCUCGGAGCAUUCAUGGAUGGAUUGAAGCCAUGGGCACUUCUCGAGCUCAAGAGACGUGACAUGAGUAGUCUUACGCGAGCGCUAAGCGUGGCCGGUCACUUGUCGACCUCACCAAGACCGAACCAAGGAGUUGACUGAGAGAUUGGAGGUCGGAUCGACCUUGUGAGGAUGAAGCACGAAGCACUCCUCGGGGUGCGCAUGAUCAAGGCGGCUAAGCCAAAACAUGGGGAGAAGGAACUUCCAAGCCAUCCUUCCAAAGGAGUCGACCACCAACGGACUACACGAGUAAGUUUGAUCAACCCCCGCCUUCUCCUUGCUUCAUUUGCCAAGGUCCACAUUGGACCCAAAAAUGCCUGAAGAAGGGUCGAAUCAAUGCCCUCCUUGCCAUCGAGAAAGAAAAGGAGGAGCCCAAAGAAGAUAAGCGACAAAUCCAGAUUGGAGCUGUGAGGAUGAUCAACUUGGUCCAAGCCUGAUCGUCGACCAAAGAAGAAAUCGCACCGAACACAAACAUGUUCUAUGUGGAGGUCAAAGUGUGUGGCCGAACACUUUAUGCUUUGGUCGACACCGGCGCAUCCAACAUGUUCAUGUCAACCGAGGUUGCAAAGGCUUUGGGACUUCACGUGGAACCAUCCGGGAAGUCAUACAAGCCCAUCAAUUCGGGCGACUUCCCUGGCGUAGGAGCAACACCCGACGUGGACGUCAAGAUUGGCGGAUGGAAGGGCAAGAUGGCGUUCGAGGUAAUCCCUCUUGACGAUUACGAUCUCAUUCUUGGCAUGCAAUUCUUUGAAAGUGUGGGAGCGAUGAUCGACAUGAGGACCAAGUGCAUGAUGAUCCUCGACCAAAAGUGUCUGUCGAUGAUCCCCAUGAUCAAGGGGGUGGUCAACACCAAGACCAUCGCGUCAAUCCGACGCCUCGACAAGAGCUUGAAGAACGUGAUGCGCAUCAACAAGCUGUCCGAGGUGAAGCCAAAAGGUCAAGUUGGAUCCUACUCCAACACCACGCCCAUGCCCAUCCCAGCCGCUCUUCCCGAAGUUGAGUGCUCACCGCAUGCCACGCUAAGCCAAAGGGGGAGCCGCGUGCCCAAGUCCGACUUCAUCAUAGAAGGUUGCGGCCCUUUGUUCGUGAGCAUCCGAGCGAAGCAAAAGAAGAACCAGAGAGCCCGUGCCAAAGCCCAUGCUCGUGCCAAGAAGGUUGACCGACAAGCUGUGAGCGACGAGGGCGUUGCUCAAAUGAGUGAGGGAGAAUGUCAUGGCCUGAAAGAAAGCCGACCCGAGAGGUUCUCGAAGGGCGAUCACGACUCACCCGUGGACCUCCUGCUCUCACUCGGAUUCCCACCAAGCCUACUCCCCAAAGUUUCCAAGGGUGGGCGACAUUGCCAUUUCGCAUGAUUCUAGAAGUUUCUCUUUCAUUAAUGUCAGUAGACGGUAGUUGAAUACUUAUAUCGGUAGCUGAGGCGAUGCGAUCUCGCCCGUCGGAUGAAAAGUAGAUCAAUGGAUGUAAUCCGAGGCCCUCAACUAUAAAAUGGGUGUCCUCCCUCAUUUGUAAUUAUCCAAUCCAUUUCAAAAAUAUCAAAGCUUUCCUUUCCUUCUCAGAGCUCCUCUCUCUAACUUUCUCUCUCGACGAUCCAGGUAAGCGAGCGGGUAGGCGUUCGAUCGAGAUAAAUAUUCAACUACCGUCUACCGACAUUNNNNNNNNNNNNNNNNNNNNNNNNNNNNNNNNNNNNNNNNNNNNNNNNNNNNNNNNNNNNNNNNNNNNNNNNNNNNNNNNNNNNNNNNNNNNNNNNNNNNGGGGAGUAGGCUUGGUGGUAAUCCGAGUGAGAGCAGGAGGUCCACGGGUGAGUCGUGAUCACCCUUCGAGAACCUCUCAGGUCAGCUUUCUUUCGGGCCGUGACAUGUGUAUGAUAGAACUACAGAGGAGAAAGAUCCAGAAAAGAAAAGGAAAUAGGGGGGAAUUCCCUCAACUAAAAAUAAACUUUAAUCUCUUCUCUUUUUUGUAAAAGCAAUUUUUGUAAUUCUUUUGAUUUUCCGAUAUUUUCUAUUUUUCCUUUUCUUUUCUCUCUUCUCUUUUCAUUUUUCCCUUUUCCCUUUGCCAACCAUCCAUGAGGCCUAUGCAUGAAUACAAAUAGUUUGUGAUUAGAGACUUGCAUAUUUAUAUUGUAGUCAAGAUUGAAAUUUGAUUUGACUAUAUAUAUAUAUAUAUAUUAUUUAUUUAUUUAUUUAUUUAUAGAUUGCCCUUUCCAACCAAAACCAAAAACACUCAAAUCAAAUAUGUAACNNNNNNNNNNNNNNNNNNNNNNNNNNNNNNNNNNNNNNNNNNNNNNNNNNNNNNNNNNNNNNNNNNNNNNNNNNNNNNNNNNNNNNNNNNNNNNNNNNNNAUAAACUUUAAUCUCUUCUCUUUUUUGUAAAAGCAAUUUUUGUAAUUCUUUUGAUUUUCCGAUAUUUUCUAUUUUUCCUUUUCUUUUCUCUCUUCUCUUUUCAUUUUUCCCUUUUUCCCUUUGCCAACCAUCCAUGAGGCCUAUGCAUGAAUACAAAUAGUUCAUGAUUAGAGACUUGCAUAUUUAUAUUGUAGUCAAGAUUGAAAUUUGAUUUGACUAUAUAUAUAUAUAUAUAUUAUUUAUUUAUUUAUUUAUUUAUUUAUAGAUUGCCCUUUCCAACCAAAACCAAAAACACUCAAAUCAAAUAUGUAACUUCCAAAGCUUUAAGAAACAUCCUAUAAGUAGAUUAUUGACAUGUUUUCAAAUAGUUUAAGAAUCACAUGAUAUCAGGAACGUAGGUUAAGGGUUUGUGUUGUGGUGCUAUACUCUCAAUAAUCAAAGAUCAUUCUAACUCGCUAGACUCCGACCAAUCUCAUAGCAUCACAUUCAUAAGUACCUAUGUAGAGAGAUAUUAGGGAACAAAGUCGCUUGAGAGAGAGAGAGAGAGAGAGAGAGAGAGAGAGAGAGAGAAUCGGGAGAGUGAUUUACACGUAUGGAAACUUAGUCAUAAAAUCGAAUAAUUAUUUUUUUUCCAUGCUAGUUCAAGAAAAUGAGCAUAAAAUAGUGGAUUCAGAUCAGAAUGACCUGAUUCCAAAGCAAAAGAAUGGAGACUCAAAGAAUCACAAAUUUUGUGUUUUCAGUUUCCUCAACUAAGCACUGUAGGCUUGUCGAUAUUUUAUGAAAGUGGGCUAAACAGUGGUGGACAAAAUGAAAAAAAAAGAUAUAGGAACUUCAAUGGUUGCUUUUUUAGGCCCCCGAGGAAGUUGAAAUAGCAUCAAUUCUUCGAGAUUGAUGGUUGCAACUCUUCAAAGAUACAGGCUUUAAAAGCCCUAACUCUUCAAGGACAGAGUGGAAACUCUUCUAGGUUUUCAAGGGAUUUGAACUUUUUAAGGUUCCAGAGAGUUACACUAAGCAAAUUUCAUUAAUGAAAUUCAGUCUAUAAUUUAUAGAGACUCAUUGACCUUUUAUAUCAAAACAAAAGAAGAGUAAGAGGCUAGACUCAAACAUAGAAACUAAUAGUCAUUAAUGUAUGUAGAAACUAGAAGCUAUUAAAAUUGAAACAAUAUUUACCAAUGAUUUUGCUCGCCCCAAAGUGCCUUGAUGCAAGUUUUAGUGUUUGAGAAAUGACAAAAUCUUUAUGACAAAACAGAGUGUCAUUGAUAUCGAAUGCACGCUAAUCUUCUUGGUUGAACAAGUUGGUCUUGAAUAUUGGCUACAUCAAAGAGUGAGAGAGAGAGAGAGAAAGGAGCUAUUUCCCUCCAAUGAUGAUAAUUUUAUUGACAACUUCUAUAUGAUGUAAGAGAUAUAACUUUUGUGGAAUUAAAGACACUUUAUUGAACCUUUUUUAGGACAUAUAAUGGGUCAGCCAUCAUAUAUUGUUGGGAAAAGUGUUAAAAAAAGUCUUAAACCUUUUGUAUUUGUGUCAAUUUAUUCCUAAACCUUUUUUGGUGCCAAUUUAGUCCUAAACCUUUUUAUUUUAGUGCCGAUUCGGUCAUUUCCGACCAAUUUUCACUGGAUUUUCCUGACUAGACGCCAACUAGCUGACAUGGCCUCAUCGAUGCUGACGUUGACAACUUUUAAUAAUAUUUUAAUAUUUUUCUUUCUUUUUUUUCUUUUUUCUUUCCCCUCCUCCAGCCAGUCACCGAACCUCGGCGACCGGCUAGAGGCAACGGUCAGCGAGGUCAACCUCAAUAGCCACCUUCCCAAAUCAGGCAAGGGUGGAGCCUCACUGGCCAUGGAGUCAAGCCUCGCCCAUGGCCAAUGAGGCCUGAUCUCGCCAGCACCGCCCAAAUCCGGCGAGGGUGUGUCUCGCCAGCACCGCCCAGGCCGCGAUACCUCACCAGCUCGACAUCAGGUCACAAGAUCUGGCGAGGUCCGGUGAGGUCGACCUCACCGGUCGUCGCCUUUGGCCAUUCGCCAAGGUCUUGCGACCGGCUAGAGGAGGGGAAGGAAAAAAGAAAAAUAAAAGAAAAAUAAGAAUAAAUUAUUCAAAAAUAUUCAAAAAUAUUAAAAUAUUAUUAAAAGUUGUCCACGUCAGCACUGAUUAGGCCACGUUGGCCAGCCGGUGUUCAAUUAAUAAAAUCCAGCCAAAAUUGGCCGAAAAGACUGAAUCGGCACUAAGUAAAAAAGUUUAGGACUAAAUUGGCACAAAUACAAAAGGUUUAUGACUUUUUAAACGCUUUUCCUUAUAUCACUUCAUCUGGGACAAUAUAGAUUAUUAAUAAUGUCAUUUUGUGAGUUCAUUUCAAACUGAAUUGCAGUUAAUUGACUCAGCCAUAUUUGAAAGAACUAACUUGGAAAAAAUCACGAAAAUGGACGUGUCCUCAUCGGAGGACUCAAAGCAGCAAUUCUAAGAAACUCUUAUAUACUUUUAUGUCAUGUACUGCUUUUUUACGUACUUUUUGAAUUAUAAUUAUAUAUAACAUUGCGAUCAAGUGAUUUUUUUUGAAUUUGACGCCAUCGCGUUUUAGUUAAUUGACAAUGACUGACCGGGUGUGGAUCCAUCGUAUGCGGAGACUGUGUGCUAAUGGGUGAAAAUAAUAUUAAAUAUAAUCAUUGUACCUAAAACAAUAUGUGGAAAUGUAAACGCAAGAAAUCAGAUCAUCAGAACAACCAAGAUACAACCUGUACAAGACAAAGCCCGAACCCAUGCUCAUCCUCUCAGGGAAGCAUUCACAAGCAGCAGAAUUCAAGAUUCAAGAACCACCCUCCGCAAAUGUACAGCGUGUCAGCGACUAUUGAAGGCAGUCUCUAAGGAAAUAAAAUUACAUAAACAAGACAGAUAGCAGCAAAAAGAGAUGGAGAUCCUCCAUGGUUUAGAAGUGAUGGUGGUGCUUCUUGCCAUGAUGAGACUCUUUAUAUUUUUUCUUGGCCUCCUUCCUCUCGUGGUGCUCGUGGGUGGCAAACCCGACAGCCCCGACGGCAGCGGCGGCAGCUAUUUCCUCCUUUAUCUUGUGCCGGUGAGCGUGCUCCGGGUCCUUCUUGGCCUUAUGCUUCUCAUGCUGCAUUUUGCACAUUAUUAAUCAGCAAUGGCGUUCACGAAACAAAAUGAGUUAAGGUAAAGAGGAAAGGAGCAAAAAAAAAAAAAAAAAAUCUCUAUUAUGUAUACUUUGUUUAAUACAAGCUCUAAGCAUGGGAUAAGUUCGAGAAAAAAGAAAUUAAUUUAUUCACCUUGAAAAGAAGUAUUUGAUCAGGUAAAUAGUGCUAUGGAUUACAAUUAUGUUUUUUGUUAUUGUAGGGAAAUCUUACUCCUCUAGCUGUUGGGUGAAGGAAAUCAAUUAAAUUCAAACUAUUGUUCAUUUAUAAGGAUGAUCCAUUCUCACAUGGCAUGCCAUUAUCAUGUCGAGUUGAAAUAUGUGACUUUAAUCGAGAUCUUUUGCAUUCAAUGCUCGUUAAUAACCCGAUGAUUCAGGUCAAUAAGGUGAAAACACAAAUUUUAUCUAAAUUAUAAAAUGCGAAAAGAAUUGAAAAGAAUAUGAUAAUUAUUACCAAGGCAUAAGCACCGGCAGCAGCGGCACCGAGCUCGCCGAGCUGCUGGAGGUGCUUGUGGUGCUUCUCCUCCUUCCUGUAAUCGACCGUAGGCUCCGUGAAGA